rnacentral:rRNA from 1 species
UCCAGACUCCUACGGGAGGCAGCAGUGAGGAAUAUUGGUCAAUGGGCGGAAGCCUGAACCAGCCAAGUCGCGUGAGGGAAUAAGGCCCUACGGGUCGUAAACCUCUUUUGCCGGGGAGCAAGGGCGGGGACGUGUCCCGGCCCGGAGAGUACCCGGAGAAAAAGCAUCGGCUAACUCCGUGCCAGCAGCCGCGGUAAUACGGAGGAUGCGAGCGUUAUCCGGAUUUAUUGGGUUUAAAGGGUGCGUAGGCGGGAUGCCAAGUCAGCGGUCAAAUGCGGGGGCUCAACCUGCGUCCGCCGUUGAAACUGGCGUUCUCGAGUGGGCGAGAAGUACGCGGAAUGCGUGGUGUAGCGGUGAAAUGCAUAGAUAUCACGCAGAACCCCGAUUGCGAAGGCAGCGUACCGGCGCCCAACUGACGCUGAAGCACGAAAGCGUGGGUAUCGAACAGGAUUAGAUACCCCAGUA